AGCGAACGCUGGCGGCAGGCCUAACACAUGCAAGUCGAACGAACUCUUCGGAGUUAGUGGCGGACGGGUGAGUAACACGUGGGAACGUGCCUUUUGGUUCGGAAUAACUCAGGGAAACUUGUGCUAAUACCGAAUGUGCCCUUCGGGGGAAAGAUUUAUCGCCAUUAGAGCGGCCCGCGUCUGAUUAGCUAGUUGGUGAGGUAACGGCUCACCAAGGCGACGAUCAGUAGCUGGUCUGAGAGGAUGACCAGCCACACUGGGACUGAGACACGGCCCAGACUCCUACGGGAGGCAGCAGUGGGGAAUCUUGCGCAAUGGGCGAAAGCCUGACGCAGCCAUGCCGCGUGAAUGAUGAAGGUCUUAGGAUUGUAAAAUUCUUUCACCGGGGACGAUAAUGACGGCACCCGGAGAAGAAGCCCCGGCUAACUUCGUG
rnacentral:rRNA from 1 species